rnacentral:rRNA from 1 species
AUGGCUGAGAAAGAACAUGAUGGUAGUGGGGAAAUGCAGCAGAAAUCAGUCGAGCAUGAUGUGGCAGAGCUUGAGGCGCGAAGCCUGUGCAAUCAACAUGGUUCAGUUGUGGAUGUGAAGGAAGGAGAUCAUGCCGAUGACAGCAACAGAAAGAUAACAAAGUUCUCUGACUGGAUCAGUCCGAAACCAAAGGAGAAGUGGUCACUGGCAUACGAUCGAGAUGGAGCAAGGUAUGGCAUCAUGGGCAGUGAUACAACUGAUGCAUAUAAGAACGACCCUGUAUUGAAAGGGAUAACAUGCCUUCCGCUCAGUGCGAUAGUGGAGGUGACAUUCCUGCGCUUGGUAGAGUACUUCCAAAACACAAGUGUCGCAGCAAACAAAGCGAUCGGCAACCCGAUAAUUAACUUCCCUGAACAUGUCCAGGUUGACCUGAAUUCCAAAAUGCAGAAAUCCGAGACGCAUAGACUUAUGUACACAUACGCCGAUGAAAAGAAUUAUCUUGGUAAGGUAGUGGAUCAAAAAUUUACAGUCAAGGGAAGGAAGAGGGAGGUGACUGUUCACCUGAAGACGGACUAUAUCGUUGGCAUUAAUAAGUCUAAAGGAUGCACAAUUCGGAAAACUGCCACCUGUUCAUGUGGCAAGCCACAGGUACUUCACAAGCCUUGCUCUCAUGUCAUUGCGGUCUGUUGUGAGAUUGGGGUUAGCACUGCUACAUACAUGUCCCCAUACUACAGCCUGCCCUAUCUAGGUAGGACCUGGAGGCAAAAAUUCAAUAAGUUCUCUCAUGACUACAGAGAUACCAUACCACACUGCUUCAGAGGUAUCAUACCAUUUGAAGGUGAAGCACAAACUUGGAUCCCAGACAAGAGAUUAGAGUGUGGCCUUCCUGUUUAUCUGUCGCCGGACUGCGCACAAACUGUCGUGCUCGAGGAAGAGCAUUGCAGAACUGAAGAUGGAGCAGUUGCAGGCAAUGAUGAAACCUAG